UACGUAGGGGGCAAGCGUUGUCCGGAAUCAUUGGGCGUAAAGAGCGUGUAGGCGGCUCGAUAAGUCUGCUGUGAAAGUCCAGGGCUCAACCCUGGAAGGCCGGUGGAAACUGUCGGGCUAGAGUCCGGAAGAGGCGAGUGGAAUUCCCGGUGUAGCGGUGAAAUGCGCAGAUAUCGGGAGGAACACCAAUGGCGAAGGCAGCUCGCUGGGACGGCACUGACGCUGAGACGCGAAAGCGUGGGGAGCAAACAGG
rnacentral:rRNA from 1 species